rnacentral:rRNA from 1 species
AGGAUGAACGCUGGCGGCGUGCCUAACACAUGCAAGUCGAACGUCCUGUCUCGCAAGAGGCAGGGAGUGGCGGACGGGUGAGUACCACGUGGGUCAUCUACCGUGAGGUGAGGAAUACCGGCGAGAAAUCGCCGACAAGACCGCAUAGGCUCGAUGCAAGUCGAGCAAAGCUCUUUCGAGAGAGGGAGCGCCACACGAGGAGCCUGCGCCCGAUUAGCUAGCUGGUGGAGUAACGGUUCACCAGGGCGACGAUCGGUAGCUGGUCUGAGAGGACGAUCAGCCACACUGGGAUUGAGAACGGCCCAGACUCCUACGGGGGGCAGCAGUGAGGAAUUUUCGUCAAUGGGGGCAACCCUGAACGAGCAACGCCGCGUGCAGGAGAAGGUUUCGGAUCGUAAACUGCUUUUCUCGGGGAAGAGAACGGACGGUACCCGAGGAAUCAGCCCGGCUAACUACGCGCCAGCAGCCGCGGU